GGUCAGAGGAUGGACGAGCUCUUGUCCUUCAUAAUCCACUCCUAGACUGUUUCGUGGUGGCCGCGCUCCGUCCGACGUUUGCCCUCCAUCAUCCACUCCUUCCUCAAUGAUUUUGUGAUAGGGACCAUGGCGAUCGGACUUGCGGGCGACGCGACUACAGGACGUAAUUGAGCAUAUGCUAUAUUGGAAUCGAAGAGGACCUAAUGGGGAAUAUGUAGAGGCGCCCAUCGGGCUAGGGGAGGCUCUGCAGCGGCCGAAUCAGUCAGAGGCGAUCGUCGGGCAGAGGGGCGAAGUUGUGGUCGAUGGCGUCAUCUCGGCGCUCUUCUUCUCAAAUGCUUCCGCGGAGAGACACUGCGAGGCCUGGUGAUGCUUGUGGACACGAAGGCGCGGCAAUUCUUCGGCGGUGCUCACACGGACGAUUAACGGCGGCUACGGCUGUGCACUCGGGCGAGCUUGAGAUCGAGCGCUAGAGGAGAGGGAGAGAGCUCCAGAGCAACGGGAAAGUGAGAGGGGGUGCAGGGCAUCUCCCAGACGAGCGGAUGGGGACGAGGACGUGGGGGACAGCGCUAAGCAGGAGGUGGCAGCAGGGUGAGCCCGCGCAACACGCCUCUGCCUACAGGCAUAUGUUCAAGAAGACCUGGCCGUGGGCUGGCUUGGCUUCAGGUGAUUGCUCACAACAUUGGCCUAGGGUGACAAGACGUUAGGUUAUUGCUCCCUACAUUACAGUCUUUGGCCAAAGGGAAUCCACGACUUGCUCUAAGGUUUGUGAUAGUAAGGGAGGUGUUUGCUCUUCAAA